rnacentral:rRNA from 1 species
UACCAGCACCCCGAGUGGUCGGGACGAUUAUUGGGCCUAAAGCAUCCGUAGCCGGUUCUACAAGUCUUCCGUUAAAUCCACCUGCUUAACAGAUGGGCUGCGGAGGAUACUAUAGAGCUAGGAGGCGGGAGAGGCAAGCGGUACUUAGUGGGUAGGGGUAAAAUCCGUUGACCCAUUGAAGACCACCAGUGGCGAAGGCGGCUUGCCAGAACGCACUCGACGGUGAGGGAUGAAAGCUGGGGGAGCAAACCGG